rnacentral:rRNA from 1 species
UACGGAGGGUGCAAGCGUUAUCCGGAUUCACUGGGUUUAAAGGGUGCGUAGGUGGACUAGUAAGUCAGUGGUGAAAUCUCCGGGCUUAACCCGGAAACUGCCAUUGAUACUAUUAGUCUUGAAUACCGUGGAGGUCAGCGGAAUAUGUCAUGUAGCGGUGAAAUGCUUAGAUAUGACAUAGAACACCAAUUGCGAAGGCAGCUGGCUACACGAAUAUUGACACUCAGGCACGAAAGCGUGGGGAUCAAACAGG